rnacentral:rRNA from 1 species
AUUGAGCGCUGGCGGCAUGCUUUACACAUGCAAGUCGAACGGUAACAGGGUGCUUGCACCGCUGACGAGUGGCGAACGGGUGAGUAAUGCGUCGGAACGUGCCGAGUAGUGGGGGAUAACGCAGCGAAAGUUGUGCUAAUACCGCAUACGUCCUGAGGUAGAAAGUGGGGGACCUUCGGGCCUCACGCUAUUCGAGCGGCCGACGUCUGAUUAGCUAGUAGGUGAGGUAAAGGCUCACCUUGGCGACGAUCAGUAGCGGGUCUGAGAGGAUGAUCCGCCACACUGGGACUGAGACACGGCCCAGACUCCUACGGGAGGCAGCAGUGGGGAAUUUUGGACAAUGGGCGAAAGCCUGAUCCAGCCAUGCCGCGUGUCUGAAGAAGGCCUUCGGGUUGUAAAGGACUUUUGUCAGGGAGGAAAUCCCUAGUGCUAAUAACACUGGGGGAUGACAGUACCUGAAGAAUAAGCACCGGCUAACUACGUGCCAGCCGCCGCGGUAA